rnacentral:rRNA from 1 species
CCUACGGGUGGCAGCAGUGGGGAAUAUUGCGCAAUGGGCGAAAGCCUGACGCAGCGACGCCGCGUGAGGGAUGAAGGUCUUCGGAUUGUAAACCUCUGUCAGCAGGGAAGAACGGUCACUGUGCUAAUCAGCAGUGAAUUGACGGUACCUGCAAAGGAAGCACCGGCUAACUCCGUGCCAGCAGCCGCGGUAAUACGGAGGGUGCGAGCGUUAAUCGGAAUUACUGGGCGUAAAGCGCUCGUAGGCGGUAUGUCAAGUCAAGGGUGAAAUCACCGCGCUCAACGUGGGAACUGCCUUUGAAACUGGCAGACUGGAGUGAGUGAGAGGAUAGUGGAAUUCCCGGUGUAGGAGUGAAAUCCGUAGAUAUCGGGAGGAACAUCAGUGGCGAAGGCGACUAUCUGGCACAUAACUGACGCUGAGGAGCGAAAGCGUGGGUAGCAAACAGGAUUAGAUACCCUAGUAGUC